AAACUAUUGAUGAUGUGGACAGUCCCAAAAAAGAUCUUUGAACCACUCCCAAGCAUGAUACAAAUUCUCAUCUAGCUUCUGUUUGAAACACACAAUCUCACUGCGAAGUCU
rfam:Capsicum annuum cultivar Zunla-1 chromosome 9, whole genome shotgun sequence